rnacentral:rRNA from 1 species
UAGUCAUAUGCUUGUCUCAAAGAUUAAGCCAUGCAUGUCUAAGUAUAAAUGACUUUAUACAGUGAAACUGCGAAUGGCUCAUUAAAUCAGUUAUAGUUUAUUUGAUAAUACCUUACUACUUGGAUAACCGUGGUAAUUCUAGAGCUAAUACAUGCUACAUAACCCGACUUCUGGAAGGGUGGUACUGAUUAGAUACAAAACCAAUCCGGGCAACCGGUUCCUUGGUGAUUCAUAAUCAUUUUUCGAAUCGUAUGGCUUUACGCCGACGAUGGUUCAUU